rnacentral:rRNA from 1 species
UACGGAGGGUGCAAGCGUUGUUCGGAAUUAUUGGGCGUAAAGCGCGUGUAGGCGGUCAUCUAAGUCUGGUGUGAAAUCCUGGGGCUCAACCCCAGAAGUGCACUGGAUACUGGACGACUAGAGGACGAGAGAGGAAAGUGGAAUUCCUGGUGUAGGGGUGAAAUCCGUAGAUAUCAGGAGGAACAUCAGUUGCGAAGGCGGCUUUCUGGCUCGUUUCUGACGCUGAGACGCGAAAGCGUGGGGAGCAAACAGG